rnacentral:tRNA from 1 species
AGAAACUUAGGAUAAAAUAAACCAAGGGCCUUCAAAGCCCAAAAUAAGGGCCCAGCCUCUUAGUUUCUG